ACAUAUAUAUAUAUAUAUACAUAAAUAAUGUAUAUUUUUUCAUUGUUAAAGAUUCGAAUUUUUAAGGAAAACUUUAUCAGGAUCAAGAAAUGAGAGUUUUUAGUGGAGAAUUCUUCUUAAUUCUAUUUAAGCCUUGGCCUCAAAAUAGCAACCCUAUGAUCUCAUUGAUUUUUUUUUUGAGGUGAUCCAUUUGGCAUUCAUUCAUUCAUUUAUUCUUUCUUUUGGUAAAGUUAUUUAAGAGCAUAUUGUUAAUGUACUAGUAUUCAUGAGAGGAUUUACUUUUUAAUUUGAUUGUCUUUUAUAAGUUCUUCAGUACAAGCUACUUAUCAGCUCAAACUUCCAGCUGGCAAUUACUGAGAGCAGGAUGAGAAAGGGGUAGUAAUGAGUCAGUGAAUUUGGGUGUGAGGAACAGAGAUAUCUGGGACACAUGGUGAGAUCUUCACAGGCUAGUUUUGGAGGCCACUAGAGUCAGGGGUGUGACCCAUCAGGGGCCACUGGGCAUGACUGGAAAGUCACUAUGAGUUGAGGAAAUGGGAAGACCGAACCGAAGAAAAAAUGAGGAAGAAUGAAGGCAGAUUUUUUGUUUUGUGAUUUUUCCAAGGGCCUGGCUUGGAUUUUGCCUAUGUAGGAAAAUGUGCAAGAAGUACAGUGACAUUCUGAGGGAACAGGUGGUCACAAUCCCCCACUGCUUCUCUCCAGCCAGAAGGAGGCUAACAUCCAGCCCCUGGUGAGGCCCACUCAAUUCACUAGGCAGAGCACGAUGAUCUGAGGAUCUCUGCCAACCCUCCUGCCUGGCCAAGCUGUGAGACCAACUGUUCCUUAUUUUCUAAGCAUUGAGCUGCUUCUGGACUUUGCUUCUUUGUUUAGGAAAUGAAUCCAAAUCCCUUUCCUCUGGACUUGCUUGAUCUCCAGGCCUGAAGUCAAGCCAGUAUUGGCCGCUAUCUAUUCCCUCAGCCACACAGUGAACAACCAUCAUAACCACACCACACAUUUAUUGGUUCAAGUCUUGUUUUCAAGGGGGUUCUACAUACUCCACCUGAUUUCAUACUAGAAAAAAUUCUACAUUGGAAGAAUUCUACAUAGGAUUGUGCAGGUGUCAUCACCUAUUUGACAGCUGUUAGGCCUGAGGCCUGAGGCCUGAAGAAAUUGAUGUAAAGCUAGUCUCAAAUCCAGGAGCCCAACUUCAGUCUUUUCAUCUAUGGUCCUUGUGUGAUGCAUUCAAAGAUGCAUUAACUCUUGAAGAGAAGAUGCACAUUCCCAUCUCCUCUUGGGCAAAAUCUAAACUUCUGUAUGACUUUUAUCUUCAACCUUCAUUCUCAAGUAGCCAAACAAAGGAAAGGGUGCUUUAAUGAAAUGGGGCCCAAGACCCCCAACUUGUUCUGACAAAAAUAGAAACUUGUAGUAGGAGCAGAUGAUCAUGUCUGUUAUUUAAUAGGAGGAACAUAAGAAAUAGGAAUAAGAAAACCUGAAGGUGGAUUGUGACUUGUUAAUUAGCUCUUCAAUAUUUAUUAACCUCUCUGAGCUUUGCUCUCCUCUUCCUUUAAGCAGAAUAAUACUACUCUGCCAUGUGUGCCCCAUCAAGGUGUUAAAACAAUUAAACUAUAAAAUAAAACUGGCUUUAAAAUUAUAAAGCACAAUUCAUUUAGAAAGGUGUUUUUUAGCAUUAUUUUAGUUAUUUGCACAUAAAAAGGCUAAAUAUAUGAUGAAAGAUGAGUGAGAAAUGCAAGAAUGAUUUGGAUUUUUGAAUACUCUGCAUCAUCAUGACUUUUUGCAAUAUUUUACCCCCUCCAAUCCUUUAUUCUUUCCAGGUUCUCACUUAUUCAUGGUAGAUUGUGUUCUUUACCUUUAACUGAGUGGCAGUUGGUCAGGCACAAUCUUCACCACGAAGAUAGAGCUGCUGAGGAUCACAGAGACGAAAGGCCUGAAUUAGGCUUACAUAGCUAGUAACUACAAGAAUCGCUAAAAUCUAAGAAUGUGGCAGAAAUGAAAUUCUGGCAUUUCUGAUAUUAGUGGUAUGAAGACUUAUACCAUCUUGUCUGACCAAGUGUCAGCUCUCCAGCUGACAGCCAGAGCUGGGCUCCCAGCCAUCAGAUAGACCCAACAGCCGGGCACCGCAGCCCAGGCUUCAGGGAAGCAAUUGAAGAUACCAUAUUAAAUGUGCAUCCUCCUGCCUCAGCUGUCCCAGCCCCUUUAGCCACCCAGUUGAACCUAUUCUAAAUUCCUGACCCAAGUAAGUGUGAGUCAAAUCAAAAUUAAAUUUUAAGCCACUACAGUUUGGGGUAGUUUGCUAGACACUAAUAGAUAAUGAGGCCAAUUCCUUUAAGCAAUUUACCCAGGAAAAUGCUCCAAAGCCAUCCCCUUUACCUUCGAGUUCUCCAGAAGAAAUUUCAUUUGCUGUGGGACCUCACACAGUGUGGGUGUGCACAGAAGUCAUUUUUAUAAAAGAUGACUUGGGAGGCUCCAUUUUCAUGUUGAAUGCAUUUGUCAUUUGGACACAGCUAGCAGGUAGAAACCUUCAGACAAAGGAGGUGAGCGACAUAUGGGUAUAUGUCCUUGGCCAUAGGAUUUAUCACCCCCUCUCUGUGGACCUUUGGAAGACAAGUAGAGUUGGAAGGAUGAAAGGAGUCUCUGUAAUGAUUCUGGGUCCUCUUAGGAUUCCACCUGGGUUCACGGUGAUGAUUGGAAGUGAUGGUAGUGGAAAAAGAGAGCAAAGUGUGGGCCCUGGGUUGCUGUGUCUGAUGGCUGAGACUUGUGUAUACUCCAGGUAGUGACAUUUCUGGCCUUACAGACAUCUCUUCAUCUUCAUCUCAUUGCAAGCGUGUGCCAGAGGCUGAGGAUAAUAAAAUGAACAAAUAUGCUCCAUUCUUCAAAAAGCUUCAGACUAUAUACAUAUAUAAAUCAAAUGUAAAAAAAUUAAUUUAUUACUUGGACUGAACUUUCUAGAGUAUAAACAGGAAAUGGCUUUAUUUUUCUCUCAUUAUUUCCUUCAAUAUGCUUUAUCUUUUCUCAUUUCCUUUCUUUGCAGUUUGAUAACAUCUUGAGCAGAUUCCAUAAGUGUUCACUCUUUUUAACCCAUUUUUGACAAUAUAGAGUCCCUUCUAGGUUUAAAAAGCCUAAUUCUGACUUUUUUAAAGCUUCAAGUUCAUGUUUAAUUUAAAGCUUCUUUUCUUCCUUCAGAUUGCACCUUGGAGACCAGAGUGGAGUCCAAUAUGGUUUCUCCUCAAUCUUCCUUCACUUUUUUUUUCACUUUUGCUUCGCAUUUCUUUAAGUUCUGCCCUGUGGGAUAUGGGAAGAGAUAUGAGGAAACAGACAUUGGAAGAACAAAGGAAACAAGGACUUACAUGGCUAAUGGCUUGUAAUAUAGGCAUCAGUGCUCCUGGCUGUAGCAGGUGUUCAGAGGCUACGGUAAGCUGUUCAUAGGGUUUUUCUGCACAACACCCUACCCUCAACAUGGGGAUUUCUGCAGUGUAGUUUCCUGAUGCAGGUGCCACAUGUUCUCACUGGCCCUUUGGAACCUUCUUCUAUCCCCUUCCCCUCUGAGAUCAAUCCCAGUCACGGAGCCCUCUUGGGUAGGAUCCCAUUAAGUUGCCUUAAGCUUAGCCAUUCUCUACCCAUUCAGCCAUGUACUGGGUCCAGAGGAAAUUCACAUAUAUUCUUCAAGCCCAACACUGCUCUCCUGAUACCUGCUGCUCCUCCUUGCCGUUCUGGACUGCUCUGGCAGUAUGCUGCCAAAGUCUUGUCAGUGGGAAGCAGGCUCCAUUCUCUCUGUCCACACAUACCCCCAAACUCAAGCUCACCUACAAUCACUAACCGUAUGCUUCACUAGAAUCCCCAGCUGCCAUGAGGCCUGUGGUUCAUGGCACAGUAAAUCUUCCUGGGGGGCUGGACCUCCAGCCUGCAGCCACCCCCAGGAUCUACAAAGAAUGCUCUUCAAGCUUCUUCCCCAGCUUUUUGCUGAGAAAAGCCAAGUACUUUCAAUUCCUUCCUGAGCCUCCUUUCACAUUUUCUAACGUCUUUCACGCAGCCCGGAGGAUGUAAUGGCCUUCAGCUUCUCUUCCUUUAGUAUGUAUGUGGACUCAGUUUUAGCCCAGAUUCUAGGACAAUGAGACACAUUUUAUUAAAUUCAAAUGAUUCCGGACCAUGUUGGUAACUGCUGAAAUGGAGCAACGCCACUGAACAGAUUCAGCAGGAGAAAGAGACAGGAAUGCCUCCAGCAGCCAGGCAAGGGGAGGACCCGGCUCUAGGAGAAUAAAUGGAGGGUCAUCAGGAAGGAGAGUGAGGGGGAACACUGGGUAGAGACAUGAGAGCAUGGUUGAUGACAAAAAAGGGCUUAGUGAACUCAGCACAACACAGUGGCCGGUCAUCUGCAGGAAGAAGGGAGUCAAGACUGCAGAGGCAGCUUGGAGGCAGAACAGGGAAGUGGGGCUGUGAAGAGCUUCUCGGAGGGGAUAAGGUGAAGUCAUUUUCUAGUUAGAAGGAGCCAAAGGACAGAAUCAGGAACAACAAUUAAGAGGUCCCCCAGUAAUCUCAUUUACCUUCCUUAGAUUACUCCGUUGUCUUGUGUUCCCAAAUCUCUUCGCCUUCCAUGUUUCCUUCUAGAAGGUUGACAGUCACUGGUAAAUGGAUGGCAAAAGAUUUAUUUGGUAGUGAAUUGAACAGGGUCAUAUGGCCACAGUCUAUUUUUGGCCACCUCCAUAAGGCUGAAUGAAGUAAGAUGCAUGAAAAUGUUCUAUAACAUUCUAACCUUAGAAAACGUAGAGAACUCUUAUUGUUAAGCAGUUAAUGUUUGUGCAAGUCAUUUGGCAAUUAAUUUUAAAUUACCUGUGACAUUUCUUCUCUGAUUUUCUGGAAUUGUGAUUUAAGUCUAUAAAUCCACUUGUUUCAUCUCUCAGGGCUCUGCUCCUCUGUUUCCAAGGUGACAGCUAGCUAGCUGGUGGAUUAAUCCAUGCUAAUCUGUUAGUUGCGACCAAAGGAGGCAACACUGAAUGAUGCCAUGCGUUUUAAACCUAGUAAUGUUCAGAUUAAUUUUUAAAUAAAAAAUUGAUUUUAGAACCAAAGUAUGGACCUAGAUAAUUAUUAAAAUGAUAAUUAUGAUAUUAAUCAUAUAGGCAUGUAGACCAUUUUGUUGUGUCAGAUAUGUGCCAUUACUUCCUAUACUUAAUUCAGGUUGAAUAAGGUUGAGCCUCCAUCCUCUCAUUAGGCUUGCAAGAAUAUUAGUCUAGUUUUUUUUAGGGUUCCCUGAAUCUCAGCUGACACAUCCACUAAAGGUUGUGCAGAGGUUUUGGGAGGUGAGUCUCAGGCAGUGACAAAGCAUGUAGGCCAUUGGCCUGCUAAUUAUCAGCGAGACAGCCUUAUCCACAUUUCAGGGCAACUUAAAGUCCGCUGCUCUGAUCCAUUUGGGCCAUGACUGAGACCUAGGAAUUGAAUCCUAAAAUCUCCAGGAUCCAGUUUCCUAAGGUGAACUAAACAGUCCUUUAUCCUUUCAAGCUUGUCCUGAGAGGAAGUAGGACGUGGAGCCACCCUCAGAUAUUCUUCUCCUUUGAGACCUAGGUAAAUCUGCCCUCCCUUUCUCUACGUCUCUGGCUAACAAGACAUGGAGUUUGUGGGCCAUUGUUUGGUUAUUAGAUGGCAAUUAAGAUAAGUCCAUAUACACUCAUCAUUUCUAAUACAAUUGAAAUGCAAAUGGAAAACUAAGAAUUUUUGGGGUUGCGUGUUUGGAACCUCAGGCACAUAUUUUUGAAACUCCAGGGCCCAUGGAAGUCAGUUUGGAAACAUUGCUGCAGUUGCUUGAGUAUGAGCUCUGGAGUCAGAUGGAGCUGAAUUUGAAUUCUAUCUCAGUUUCUGCAUUCGUAGCAAAAACAUGGUAAUAUUGCCUUCAGUAUUAGUUUCCUAGUGCUUCUAUAAGUAAUUACUAAAAAUUGGGUGGUUUAGCAUAAGAA